AUGUUAUGCCCUAAUCCUUCGAAAACAAACACACCCUCGGACUCUCUCCUAAAGCGACGCAACAACAGAAGAGAAGGGUCCAAUUCCAAUACUCCAAUAGGCACCGUUCCUAGUUGAAAAAUGAAAGAUUUUUGAUUUUGUGUCUUCAUCUCUCUGAAAAUGGAAGAUCAAAUGUGCUUCGACUAUCUUCAACGUCGAAUUCGCUCCAAUUUCUCUGAUAAUCUCACUUUUCCAAUGCCAUCUCCGAUUCUUCCUUUCCUUUCGCCUCCACCGUCGUCGUUCAGAUGUCAAAUUCUAGUAGCGAGGCUUCAUCUGAGUUCAUAUUGGUGUAUCUACCUAGUGGCUAAUACGAUUGCUUGACAGAAUACAUUGAUGAGCAUUGUCCGGAAGAUCUUCAAGGUAAACACAAUGGUGAGAGUGGUGACACAAUUGCAUCAGUGAUUGAUCAAGAUCAAACUUGUUCACUAGACACUACAUUGAAGGAAAUCCAGUCCACUGGUGGUAGAAGAACAUUCCUGGAUGGGUUCGGAUGCAAAAAUUCGACUUGUAACUUUGCCAGUCGAUUUUCUUGCUUUAGGACAAUCACUUCCUUGGCUCCAAUUGCUCAGGUUGGCAUUUCAUCUUACUCCUUGUCUGAAGAGCUUGCUUCUAACUAUUUUUCUAGGUUUGCUGAAGGCCACGUAUUGAGCUCACUUGCUCUUCUGAUUGAAGGAAAAGCAACAGGACGAGAUAGUAUAAAUCUUCUUAGUUUAA